rnacentral:ncRNA from 1 species
AAUCCCUAAAAUUAAACUUGUGUAUCCGCGAAGGCCCGUGGCUGGUGUUGACACGAUGUGACUUCUGCCCAGUGCUCUGAAUGUCAAAGUGAAGAAAUUGAAUGAAGUGCAGGUAAACGGCGGUAGUAACUACGACUCUCUUAAGGUAGCCAAAUGCCUUGUCAUCUAAUUAGUGACACACAUGAAUGGAUGAAUGAGAUU